ensembl:lncRNA
CUUAUAGUUUGUGUCUUUGGUGGCCGAUGCUCUUAGGGAGGAGAGCUGAGAUAAACGAGGAUUAGUAAAAGUCUGAGGGUAAAAGAAUCUUCUCUCAGCCUUUAGGGAAUGGAGUAAUGAAGCACAGCAAAGCAAGUCACAUUACCUAUAUUAACUUAGAGAGGAAAAUGAGUUUUCUGUUACAUGUAGACCUUAUUAAUGAAGAAUCACUACAUUGUUCGUAACUCUGCCUAUGCUGGAGAAGGUGAAGUGGAUCCAGAUAAGUAGAAAAGAUGAACUAGGAAGAGGAAGUAAGUAUGGUUGGAAAAGGUGGAAGUGUGGUGCUGCCAGAGCAGAAAGCACAAAGAAGAAUGUGCUUUUAUGUGGGAUUGUUUCUGAAAGAGGUUGGAUGCUUCAGAGAAGAAAUAGAGAAUUUCAUAAGUGAUUUGGAAAUUUCAACACUGAUGUAGAAAAAGUUAACUUAUUUCCUUCCUUUGUAUUCCUAGACAUGUUUUACAGUAUGAUCUACAUGUGACCCCUUUAAAGGAAACCAGUCUUCUCGAGUCUCUUCAGAAGCUAAAAGAAUAUUUAUAUUAAAAAAAGAUGUUAUACCUCAAACCGUGGGUAUGGAACUGUAGCUAGCAAUGUGACCGCAGAAGUUUUUCGACAACUCAUAUACUACCCAGUGAUUUAGGACUCAUGAGGCCUUACAGAUACAAGAGAUUAUUAGCCAAUCACAGUCUCAAUCUCUAGAACCCAAAUGAAAAAAAAAAACCACGGUGAGAAGAAGAAAUGACAGAGGAGCACACAAUGGUAAUGGUGGUGAGGGCAGAGACAGGGUAGUUGAAAUCUAUUAAUAGUAAAUCACUAAGAGAAGAUCCUAAAACUCCUAAAAUCCUUAAAUGGCCCUGGUUUAGAUCUAUUUCCUUGAGGGCCAGUCCUGUUACUGAUCAUCUACUUAGAAAUCUAUGGAAUUCCACUACUGAAAUCACUCCAUAAGUAUUCUUAAGCUGCCUUUUCUUUAGCUAGCUUAAGUAAUGCUUUACUCCUCAUAAUCAAAUAAUCCUAAUGAGAAGCACUUGGAAUAUUUUCACAUUUGUAAGUUAAAGGUGUUUUGGUUUGCUUGUUUUCAUUACUUAGCCCUCUUCUCUCAAAGGAUGAUUAAAGGAGAUGAAUGGAGAAACAAGGAUGGAAGGAUACUAGAACACUAGAAAGUUAGUUAAGGUCUUACUAGUCUUCCAGGACAUGCCCAAACUGGUAACUGUGGGCUUCCUUCUGCUUAUUGGAUGGAUGCAAUAAUUAGCAUCAAUUUUCUGUGUAUCUGAGAUGUGCUGUAUAGACUAGGAAGUUUUAAAAAGUCUAGGACACAAGAUAAAUCUAGGAAAAUCUGAGGUUAAUGGAUGCUUCUUAAUCUUUAAUGUUUAUAAGAAUAAUCUGAAAAUCAUGUUAAAAAUGCAAAGCAUUUCUGUAAAUGUAAAGCAGGGCCUAAGAUUCUGCAUUUUCACAAGCUUCCAUGUAAUGUCAAUGCUGCUGAUCUGGUCAAUAUAUUCUGAGUAGCAAGAAUGAAGGGAUCCUUUAUGUAAUUACACAACCAUUCUUAUUUAUUCUCUGCAGGAUAGUAAAAUAGAUGACCACUGAAACCAGACAAAGUCACCACUUUCAAGCUGUGUGGAAUUUUAGCCUAUCAACAUUUUUGUUUCCUUAUUCGUAAAAUGGUGAGGAUAAUAUUUAUCUUGCAGGAUUCUAAAAAUUAAAUGUUAUUAAAUAUGUAAAUUUCACAAUAGCUCCUAAGCAAGUGGUAUUUAUUUUUUGAUUCAUUCACUAUGUUAAUUAGAAAACAUUUCUUGAAUAGUAUGCAGUUUUCUAUAAUAAAUGCUGGAGAUGAAGAAAUAUAUAAUCUCUGUUCUAAAGAGUUUAU